GACGAACGCUGGCGGCGUGCUUAACACAUGCAAGUCGAACGGAAAGGCCCUGCUUUUGUGGGGUGCUCGAGUGGCGAACGGGUGAGUAACACGUGAGUAACCUGCCCUUGACUUUGGGAUAACUUCAGGAAACUGGGGCUAAUACCGGAUAGGAGCUCCUGCUGCAUGGUGGGGGUUGGAAAGUUUCGGCGGUUGGGGAUGGACUCGCGGCUUAUCAGCUGGUUGGUGGGGUAGUGGCUUACCAAGGCUUUGACGGGUAGCCGGCCUGCGAGGGUGACCGGCCACAUUGGGACUGAGAUACGGCCCAGACUCCUACGGGAGGCAGCAGUGGGGAAUAUUGCACAAUGGGCGGAAGCCUGAUGCAGCAACGCCGCGUGCGGGAUGACGGCCUUCGGGUUGUAAACCGCUUUCGCCUGUGACGAAGCGUGAGUGACGGUAAUGGGUAAAGAAGCACCGGCUAACUACGUG
rnacentral:rRNA from 1 species